rnacentral:rRNA from 1 species
UGGGACUGGUGACUGGGACUAAGUCGUAACAAGGUAGCUGUAGCGGAAGCUGCGGCUGGAUCACCUCCUUUCAAGGGAGCA